rnacentral:rRNA from 1 species
CAGCAGCCGCGGGAAUACGAAGGGGGCUAGCGUUGCUCGGAAUUACUGGGCGUAAAGGGCGCGUAGGCGGAUAGUUUAGUCAGAGGUAAAAGCCCAGGGCUCAACCUUGGAACUGCCUUUGAUACUGGCUAUCUUGAGUUCGGGAGAGGUGAGUGGAAGCCGAGUGUAGAGGUGAAAUUCGUAGAUAUUCGGCGGAACACCAGUGGCGAAGGCGACUCACUGGCCCGAUACUGACGCUGAGGCGCGAAAGCGUGGGGAGCAAACAGGAUUAGAUACCCGCGUAGUCCCUGUCUCUUAUACA